UGCCAGACUCCUACGGGAGGCAGCAGUGAGGAAUAUUGGUCAAUGGGCGGAAGCCUGAACCAGCCAAGUCGCGUGAGGGAAGAAGGCCCUGCGGGUCGCAGACCUCUUUGGACGGGGAGCAAGGCCGCCGACGUGUCGGCGGAAGGAGAGUACCCGUAGAACAAGCAUCGGCUAACUCCGUGCCAGCAGCCGCGGUAAUACGUAGGGGGCAAGCGUUAUCCGGAUUUACUGGGUGUAAAGGGAGCGUAGACGGCAAUACAAGUCGGAAGUGAAAUACCCGGGCUCAACCUGGGAACUGCUUUGGAAACUGUAUGGCUGGAGUGCUGGAGAGGUAAGCGGAAUUCCUAGUGUAGCGGUGAAAUGCGUAGAUAUUAGGAGGAACACCAGUGGCGAAGGCGGCUUACUGGACAGUAACUGACGUUGAGGCUCGAAAGCGUGGGGAGCAAACAGGAUUAGAUACCCUCGUAA
rnacentral:rRNA from 1 species